ensembl:lncRNA
AAAGAACAUUAGUAGAAUGCUGUAAGAAACAUUUCUGUAACCUUUAAAUAAUGUUUUAAACACAAUAAGAAAACUUGACAUUUUAAUGUUUUUAAAAUAUUAAAAAUAACAUUCAAAUAAUGUUACAUUUUGGGUAAAAAGAACAGUAGUAGAAUGUUGUAAGAAACAAUUUUGUAACCUUUAAAGUUACAAUCAUGACAAGAGAAACUUACAUGUUAAUGUUUAAGAAACAUUUUAAAACAAAGUUCCCACAACUUUUUUAGAAUCUAAAUGUGUCAGCUGGGAAUGAUACUAAAGGAGUACAUCACAAAAAAAUCUUUGGCAGAAAGAGCAUGUGCUUCUCGUUACCGUCAAAUGUUAUUUCAUGCAGUUUAAUAUUACAUAACAUUUGCCUGUUCACCGUUUGUACACACAGUCAUGUGCUUUUGAUGGGAAAACACAUAAUAAACAUCCUGUUUUUAUUGUUUCUACUCAAUUUGCAUUGAAGUAACUUGUUUGCUGCUCGAACAGGGUUUGCUGUUCUCUAGAUGGUCAUUUUACAAACAGGCCGGAUUCCUCGCGCCGUCAUUAGGAAUGGAAUUCUGCUUCCUGAAGAAGGAAAAAGCUUGUAAAUGUCUGAGUGUGUAAUAAGAUCCGCGUGAAAUGCGUGUGAGACAAAGCCUGACCGAAACCGUCGGCCUGCUGGUGCCCUGCUUCAGACGACUCAAAAACACAGGAAGUGGAAUCUCUGUGGAGCCGCAACAAGCGCAGGAAUUUCCUGUGCCAGACACACAUCAGGCCACCGGCGUGAGAAACAGCCGGCCGAUCUUCAUCCCUUCUUCUCUCUUUUCAUCCUCUUUUUUACCGCCGGACACACCCCACAUGCCAUUCUGACCACCCAGAGUUCCCUGGGUUUGACCGUUCACUCAAAGACUGUUAAAUUCUAAAUAAAUCAACUCUGACUCUAUUCAUGCCCUUGAUUCACGUUCCUGCUCUUAUUCUGAAUUAUUAUUAUUAUUAUUCUGGAGGCCGACUGGAUGAAAUAGUUUCAGGAGAGAC